rnacentral:rRNA from 1 species
UACAGAGGGUGCGAGCGUUAAUCGGAAUUACUGGGCGUAAAGCGUGCGCAGGCGGUUUUGUAAGUCUGUCGUGAAAUCUCCGGGCUCAACCUGGGAAUUGCGAUGGAGACUGCAAGGCUUGAAUCUGGCAGAGGGGGGUAGAAUUCCACGUGUAGCAGUGAAAUGCGUAGAGAUGUGGAGGAACACCGAUGGCGAAGGCAGCCCCCUGGGUCAAGAUUGACGCUCAUGCACGAAAGCGUGGGGAGCAAACAGG